UGCUGCUAGUGUAUGUAUGUGCUUAGGGG
rnacentral:piRNA from 1 species